AUCUCUCGAAUUAUGUGGUAUACCACCUGGCCUCCGUGCUUUCCGAUGUGUGCGUUCCUUUUGUUGAGAUAGAUAGACGAGUGCGGGGCGAGCGCUCGCUCGCGGCGGCGCCAAAUUAAAUAUGCUUGACGAGAUGAGAGAGCGUUCGGAUCAGUGGAGACAUUGACACUUUCACAGACGUUUUUCGCAACAUAUUCGAGAAUGUACGAACAGU
ensembl:ncRNA Y53C12B.8 ncRNA